rnacentral:siRNA from 1 species
UACUUCUGCUCUUGAUGA